UAUGACAACAGAACUUCAACGAUGACUUUCAUCAUGAGCUUUGUGUGGAUACUGACUUUCUUAAUUCAGGAAUCCAGAGGACAGGUCACUGUGACUCAGACUCCUACAGUGAAAACUGUUCUCCAAGGACUGCCAGUUAUUAUAAACUGUAAAACCAGUGCAAAUGUAGCAGAUGAAUGUCGUGGUGAUUACACCUGUAUGGCCUGGUACCAACAGAAACCUGGAGGAGCUCCUAAACUCCUAAUAUACUGGGCUACAACACUUCAGUCUGGGACUCCAUCUAGAUUCAGUGGAAGUGGAUCUCAUAGUGUCAUGGAAAAUCAUGACUUCACUCUGACCAUCAGUGAAGUCCAGGCUGAAGAUGCAGGAGAUUACUACUGUCAGAGUUACCACAGUGGUCCAGUGUUCACACAGUGA